ACCAAGGUUGACAGAAGUGGUGCCUAUGUUGUAAGGCAGGCAGCCAAGAGUAUAGUGGCCAACGGUCUUGCUCGCAGAUGCAUUGUUCAAGUUUCAUAUGCCAUUGGUGUGCCUGAACCUUUGUCGGUCUUUGUUGACAGUUAUGGAACUGGAAAGAUUCCUGACAGGGAGAUUCUUCAAAUUGUGAAGGAGAAUUUCGACUUCAGACCUGGAAUGAUCACCAUAAACUUGGACCUUAAGAGGGGUGGCAACAGCAGGUUUCUUAAGACAGCUGCUUAUGGACACUUUGGAAGGGAUGAUCCUGACUUCACAUGGGAAGUUGUGAAACCACUCAAGUGGGAGAAGCCUCAAGCUUAAGAAUUGUGUUGCGGAUUUAUAUUCGUCCCUUUGACGGUUGUCUUAUUAGGUGUGGAUGAAUAAUUUGCGUGUUUAGUUAAUUGUUGCU
rnacentral:lncRNA from 1 species